AUACUGAGGGUGCAAGCGUUAAUCGGAAUUACUGGGCGUAAAGCGCACGUAGGCGGUUUAUUAAGUCAGAUGUGAAAGCCCUGGGCUUAACCUGGGAACUGCAUUUGAGACUGGUAGGCUAGAGUAUGGUAGAGGAUAGUGGAAUUCCGGGUGUAGCGGUGAAAUGCGUAGAUAUCCGGAGGAACAUCAGUGGCGAAGGCGGCUAUCUGGACCAAUACUGACGCUGAGGUGCGAAAGCGUGGGGAGCAAACAGGAUUAGAAACCCCUGUAGUCC
rnacentral:rRNA from 1 species